CCUACGGGUGGCAGCAGUGAGGAAUAUUGGUCAAUGGUCGUAAGACUGAACCAGCCAAGUAGCGUGAAGGAUGACGGCCCUACGGGUUGUAAACUUCUUUUAUACAGGAAUAAAGUGAGUCACGUGUGCCUUUUUGUAGGUACCUCAUGAAUAAGGAUCGGCUAAUUCCGUGCCAGCAGCCGCGGUAAUACGGAGGGUCCGAGCGUUAUCCGGAUUUAUUGGGUUUAAAGGGAGCGUAGGUGGGAUGUUAAGCGAGUUGUGAAAGGUUGCGGCUCAACCGUAGAAUUGCGAUGGAUACUGGCAGUCUUGAGUGCAGUGGAGGUAGGCGGAAUUCGUGGUGUAGCGGUGAAAUGCUUAGAUAUCACGAAGAACUCCGAUUGCGAAGGCAGCUUACUAAAGUGCCACUGACAUUGAUGCUCGAAGGUGCGGGUAUCGAACAGGAUUAGAUACCCCUGUAGUC
rnacentral:rRNA from 1 species